rnacentral:tRNA from 1 species
GCCUCGGUAGUGUAGGAGAACACGGUGCCGGAAAGCUUAAGUACGGGUUCGAGUCCUAUCCGAGGCC